AAUGAACGCUGGCGGCAGGCCUAACACAUGCAAGUCGGACGAGUGGCGGACGGGUGAGUAAUGUCUGGGAAACUGCCUGAUGGAGGGGGAUAACUACUGGAAAUGGUAGCUAAUACCGCAUAACAUCAGAUGUGCCCAGAUGGGAUUGGCUUGUUGGUGGGGUAACGGCUCACCAAGGCGACGAUCCCUAGCUGGUCUGAGAGGAUGACCGGCCACACUGGAACUGAGACACGGCCCAGACUCCUACGGGAGGCAGCAGUGGGGAAUAUUGCACAAUGGGCGCAAGCCUGAUGCAGCCAUGCCGCGUGUAUGAAGAAGGCCUUCGGGUUGUAAAGUACUUUCAGUGGGGAGGCGUUACCGGCAGAAGAAGCACCGGCUAACUCCCGGCCAGCAGCCGCGGUAAUUC
rnacentral:rRNA from 1 species